UUCACGGGAGAUUGGAUCUGAGCUCUCGUCCGUGGUUCCUCUGUGCUGCCGACGUCAUGACGGCGUCAACACGGCGAACCACACCCGAGUUAGCUGCACGGCGUCAGGUUAUUCCUCCCGAUCUCCUCCCUUCCUGUAACCUCCGCUCCUCGAUCUCGCCCUCCUCCCUCUCCUCUGCGCCCGCCGACAUGGGCCGCGUCUCCGUGUCCUCGGCCAUGCCGGCGGCAGCAGCGAUCCGGUCUGGCGUCGGUGCUGACGUGGUUCCCGUCUCAUCCCCUUUCCCAUUAAUCCCGUGUCUGGACCAAGCACGACACCACCUCGGUGUUGCACGUUGCGACAAAUGCCCACCCGGGCUCAAACCCCCUCCCCCACGAGCUCCUCCUCCUCGACGCGCCGCUCUCUUCCUCCCUUCUCUCCUCCGCUGGCCGCUUGGUCGUAGAACUAGUCAGGGCAGGGGACAACAUGGCCGCCACCAAACAGCAGCCGCCCCUAUACAUUGUCGUCGCCGACGACCGCCAGAGGAGCAGCUUCCCCUGCACGCGCCCCAUCCUGCAGAGCGCGCUCCAGCUCAUGGGCUGCAAGCCACACCACACCUUCAAGGGGCGGAGCUACUAGGAGCCUCCCUGAUGCACAGGCACCAGGGUCGAUGUUGAUCUCUUGAAGCGAUUGUGUAGAGUUGUUUGGUCGUGCACCAGGUUAGGCUGACAGUGGUGCAUCAGGUACAGAGACAAUCCCACGGCAGCCUUGUUCGGAACUGGUUCAUGGGUAGGCCAGGUCUUGUUCAGACGUGGCCAUGCCUUGGCGUAGCCUUGUGGGCUGUAGCCUUUUGGGUACGUUUGGUGUGGCUGGGCAUCAAGGCGUCAAUGCCCUUAGGUGUUGUAGGGUCACGCCGACACGCGAUCACUCGACGAACCACAUCGGAUGGGCGACGCUGCGCUAGGCUCGGUCUUUACACCUAGCAUCAUCCAUGCUAAUCCGAUCAGUCACUGACCUCAGCUCCAGCUCAAAGGUAGAGUAUGACAUAUAGAUGUAGUAAAUCUUAAAUCUCGGGUUAAUCAUUGCAAAAAUUUUGCUUUUAGGCGGUAUCUUCUUUAGAUUUUUUUAGUUCUAUGUACAGGGGUAUUCUGAAGUUGAGAAUUCAGUUCAUUUACUUGACUUUAUCAAAUGUGGAUAGCCACAAGACUGGAGACGCGAGACUUUGUGUAUAGUCUAAUAAUGUUGCAAUAAGUUGCUCCAUCGUCGUAUUUUCCCUCCUUUUUUGCAAUAAUUGUUCAUUCACAUUUUUUCAGAAACUAUUGCCAAUGUACCAAGUCUUAUUCAGAGAUUGUCAAUAUUGUUGGGCGUGUCCUGCUCUCCCUCUUUUAUAUUUGGUUGUUUGGUCUCACACUGAAGGUGCUAGAUGUAAUGUGGACUCAGGGCCAGAACAGAGAAGAACCAGAGCAGCUAGACUCGGGUGUGUGUUCAAGGCAACAAAUGCCCUCUUUUCCACUGAACCACCAACACAUGCUAGCUCUACUCUUUUGAUGUUCACUUACACAAAAAAAGACCACACUGUAUCCAUACCCGUGCAUGCACAAGCCCACACUGUACUACACUAUUUGGGUACACACUCAGUACAAUAUCUUCAGCUUCUACAAUGGCUUGUCUGACUGGUUAUAUUUGGUUUCAAUAAAUUAAUAGGAACGCAGCCAAAAGAACGCCGAUAACCGUAAGAAACAGAAGACAAAACAUAAAAUUGGAUCAAAAUCUUACUCGCAAGUAAGCUUUGAGAAGAGAAACUUGAAACUCACCCACACAAAUGACGGAACAUGGUCUAACACAGAGUCCUAGAAAGUUUGCGGAAGUACACUGACUUUUGGUUAUUCUAUAGUUAUUCAAUGAUGUGCAUUCGGUGUGUUUCAUCAUUAGCUGGGAUUAUUCAUGCGUUGGAUCGUGCUAUUCUUGUUUUAUCUUUUAUAUAGUGUCAAUAUUGAUGCCGUACCUGUAAUUGUUAUUUUCAUUUUUAGAACAAACCACGUCAAGAGGUUCAAAACAAAGAAACCGAAAGUCCACUUUCAAGUGAGCAGAAAAACAAUAUUUUCCAGACCGCAUACAAAGAGACUCUGAAAUGCAAGUCAUCGCAGCCUUGUGGGUACGGAUACAUGGCCAAACCUUCAACUGGUUCUCAAAGGUUCCGUAUCCUGGUUGAAGAGCAAGCUCGUGCUACAGCAGCCACCCAGCAGCAAAACUCUGAGCUCAGCCAGCAGGUCAACGAAUUACAAGAUCAACUACAAGCUGAACGUGCAAACACACAAGAGAGGAUUAACUUGGAGUGUACUGAGAGAGAACAACUUGAGGAGAGGUUAAAAGAAGAGCAUGCUGAAAGGGAAAGAUUGUUGGAAGAGGAGCGAACAUCAAGACCGGAAUUUGAAAAAAACAUGAUGACAAAGUUUGUAGCAUUGAGCCAACAGAUGGGAACCCAACAGGUGCCUAAGGAUUGACAAAGAAAAUAGUAACCCAAACUUGAAAAAUACACUUUUAUAGAGAUCUAGUCCUAAUAAGACUCCAGUUCAAGGCCAAUUAUUAUUUCUUCAAAUGCGCUCAUACAAGCUGCAACAAGGAAUUCUCGAAUGUUUAAAGCAAUGGAUCCAAAGAACUAGCUGGCCUGGACUCUAGAUCACGGACCGUUUAGUCUCUGCAAUUAAUUAGGAUGGCUAAAUUAUAUCUGAGUUUCAUUUGAUGGAUAUUUGCUACGAGAAUUAUGAACUUUAUGAAUCUACAUAUUAUACGUAUGGUUUUGAAUAUUGUAAUUGAAUGCAUGUAUUUUUUUUUACGGUUGCAAUAUGCUACAACCCACUUUCGGUUGCCACAUGUUAGCACCACCAAAAAAAGUGUUGCGUCAUAUCUCAGUCGAUAUGCCUACUAUUUUG